rfam:Clostridium acetobutylicum ATCC 824, complete genome.
GGGGGAUUAGCUCAGCUGGGAGAGCACCUGCCUUGCACGCAGGGGGUCAAGAGUUCGAAUCUCUUAUUCUCCA